GACGAACGCUGGCGGCGUGCUUAACACAUGCAAGUCGAGCGGUAAGGCCCUUUCGGGGUACGACGAGCGGCGAACGGGUGAGUAACACGUGGGUGACCUGCCCUCCAGCUCUGGGAUAAGCCUGGGAAACCGGGUCUAAUACUGGAUAUGACUCCAUGACGCAUGUUGUGGGGUGGAAAGCCUUGUGCGGCUGAGGAUGGGCCCGCGGCCUAUCAGCUUGUUGGUGGGGUGAGGCCUACCAAGGCGACGACGGGUAGCCGGCCUGAGAGGGCGACCGGCCACACUGGGACUGAGACACGGCCCAGACUCCUACGGGAGGCAGCAGUGGGGAAUCUUGCGCAAUGGGCGAAAGCCUGACGCAGCGACGCCGCGUGAGGGAUGACGGCCUGUGUAA
rnacentral:rRNA from 1 species